GAUGAACGCUGGCGGCGUGCCUAAUACAUGCAAGUCGAGCGAACGGACGAGAAGCUUGCUUCUCUGAUGUUAGCGGCGGACGGGUGAGUAACACGUGGAUAACUUACCUAUAAGACUGGGAUAACUUCGGGAAACCGGAGCUAAUACCGGAUGAUAUUUUGAACCGCAUGGUUCAAAAGUGAAAGACGGUCUUGCUGUCACUUAUAGAUGGAUCCGCGCUGCAUUAGCUAGUUGGUAAGGUAACGGCUUACCAAGGCAACGAUGCAUAGCCGACCUGAGAGGGUGAUCGGCCACACUGGAACUGAGACACGGUCCAGACUCCUACGGGAGGCAGCAGUAGGGAAUCUUCCGCAAUGGGCGAAAGCCUGACGGAGCACCGCCGCGUGAGUGAUGAAGGUCUUCGGAUCGUAAAACUCUGUUAUUAGGGAAGAACAUAUGUGUAAGUAACUGUGCACAUCUUGACGGUACCUAAUCAGAAAGCCACGGCUAACUACGUG
rnacentral:rRNA from 1 species